UGGGGAAUAUUGCACAAUGGGCGAAAGCCUGAUGCAGCGACGCCGCGUGAGGGAUGACGGCCUUCGGGUUGUAAACCUCUUUCGGCAGGGACGAAGCGAAAGUGACGGUACCUGCAGAAGAAGUCCCGGCUAACUACGUGCCAGCAGCCGCGGUAAUACAGAGGGUGCAAGCGUUAAUCGGAAUUACUGGGCGUAAAGCGCACGUAGGCGGCUUUAUAAGUCGGAUGUGAAAGCCCCGGGCUUAACCUGGGAAUGGCAUUCGAUACUGCAAAGCUAGAGUAUGGUAGAGGGAAGUGGAAUUUCCGGUGUAGCGGUGAAAUGCGUAGAUAUCGGAAGGAACACCAGUGGCGAAGGCGGCUUCCUGGACCAAUACUGACGCUGAGGUGCGAAAGCGUGGGUAGCAAACAGGAUUAGAUACCCUGGUAGUCCACGCCCUAAACUAUGUCAACUAGCCGUUGGGUUCAAUUCAGAGCUUAGUGGCGCAGCUAACGCGUUAAGUUGACCGCCUGGGGAGUACGGUCGCAAGGCUG
rnacentral:rRNA from 1 species